rnacentral:misc_RNA from 1 species
AAGUCGUAACAAGGUUUCCGUAGGUGAACCUGCGGAAGGAUCAUUAACACGUAUCCAACGUUAAACCCACCGUGAACCUUCAUUGUGCUCCCCCAUUCCGUUAGGACGCGGCAAUCCCUGGUAAAUCAUCGCCGAACAGUUUUGAUUCAGGGACCUCUGCAUGGAGUGGGCAGCAGCGCGAGGCAAGUGGCCUGGCAUUCGAAAGAAUGGCGCAGUAACGAUCGCUAGAGGCCGACACGGCCGGCGACCGGGUCACUGGGCUCACGCCCCCCUAUCACCUUUGCAUGAAAACGGGCCUGCGCUUAAUUGUGCGGCCACCAAACUCGAACAACUGUUAACAAUGGAUAUCUUGGUUCUC